AGGCCCCACGAUAGCGCACGUCUGCAUCCUUUCCCCUACCUGUCGCCUCCUCCUUCUCCCAGAUCACGCCGCCGCCGUCCAGCAACUGGCAACUAGCGCCAUCCCACGUCGCCGUUGGUGGCCCCCCGCAAGACCGCCGUCGGCCGCGUCCAUCCCCUCAUCCGCCGCUCCAACGAGCGUGAACAAAGUGAGAGGCACUACCGUCGGGGCAUGGGUCGCCCGAUGGGGCGCGGGCAGAUCCCGCCGGAUUUGUGCAUGUGCCGAGGCGAUGGCGGCCCGCGCGUGCCGCUGGUGCUAGGGACGAAGCGGCGGCCAGGAGCGGCCUUAUCCUGCUGCUCGCGUGGUUAGGCCCACGUCGUGCACGCCCCGACGAGCUCGACCGGCUCCUCCAGCAUACACUCGGGCAGCACAAUCGUGGGAAGCACGAUGAUCCAAUUUGGUCCUAACGAGAUCCUGCAGCAAGCUGACUGAAGCAACACAAAAAGACAGAUGGCUGGCUGCUAUGAACGAUUCCGGUUGGAUGCUCAGCAGCCAACGCACGCACGGAACAGUUUGAGUAUCAACCUAGGUACGGCAGCACCGUCCCCUCCUGCCCGCAGACCCUCUGCCACUAGGAUCACAUUCCAGCAACAGCAAAUGUCACUUGUGCUGGCCUCACGGAGUCACGCCGGUGGUGGAGGAGGUCGCCAAAGAUCUGCGUGAACAAUGACCCUACAAGCAACAGCCUGUAUCUGUGCACGCCAUCAAGCUCCUAAGUUUACAUGAUCCAGGUGUGGUCGUCAUCCUUUUGAUAAGUUGUGCUGAAGCAUAAAUAGUAGGUUUACUUUAUAUUCAAUGAAUGUAACUCUCAUAUCUGGACAGAUUUACCUUGAGCAUGCUUAAAGUAUAUGGUCAGCUUGUAUGAAUGUCGCAUAUCAUGUGUUUUAUAAUAUUUUAUACAAUUCUUUGUAAUGCUUUGAAUAAUUAUUUUCUAAACAAUCUCUAGAAAAGCUAGCUUGAAUGAUCAUGUGUAAUUAAAUCUGUAUAUUAUUUUCGAGUAUCUGAAUCCAUAUAUGAUUCAGUAUUGAUAUCCAAUGUUUUGGUUCUCAGCUACUUGGAAGUGAUUUUACUAUUCAAUUAUCUCGGGUGAGGUUACCAAUGGAGCACCAUUUACAACCAUUGUGGAGUUGGAAAAAUAUUUUGGGUUGGUUUGUACAAAAGGAUAAUUUAUUAUCUUUGUUCAUAAGUAUUUCUACUGAAAUUGCCGUCUCUUAGAAUUCCAUAUGAUGCUCAUACCAUGUCAUUACUAGAUUUGAAAUUCUGAUGAAUCCCAUAUCCAUGUGAAUAGGUAAUCUUAGAGAUGACAUCAAGUUUAAAUGAACAUGAUAUGUUUUGGCCAUAACAUUAAAACAGGACCGGGCGACACACAUGAUACCUCACCCAUACUAUAGGUGGUAGCACUGGAGGCGCAUGUCAUAGUCAUAGCUCUUCUGAGCAGGAGAACCUUGGUCAGGAGAUUAGUGGAGGGCACAUGGGUGAAGCUUGGCGGCAAGCCAUCGGUGGCGGUGGUCAUCUCGAGAAUGCUAUGGUUUGGUUACCGGGAUUGUUCAUUCAUCCCCAGUUUUAUUGUACAUAAGUUUUGAAGAAACAAGAUGUCCAUCUACUGGUUACUGCUAAUUUUUGUACUGACAUUUCAAUGGACACACAAGUGGGAGAUUUUUUACUGGUUAUUAUACAUGCAUGAGACCUCAUAUGUUACAGGGGAAUCGGCGCUGCCACAUUCAAGAUCAUGAUUAGUUUGUUUUUGAGGGAAUGAUCAGAGUGUUAGUGAGGAAGAGGAAACAUGCUUUUGUUAGAGUUGUUCAGGAUGAUGGGGCUGCGGUUUUGCUCCUCCAAUUUCUUCUCUGCUAGGCAAAGCCUGGCUCUAUCGAUCCGGUUGUAAAACAAUCCACUCCUAUUAAUACAUCCGACAUUGCUCGUGUUAA